rnacentral:rRNA from 1 species
UGAGGGAUAUUGGGCAAUGGGGGCAACCCUGACCCAGCGACGCCGCGUGAGGGAAGACGGUCUUCGGAUUGUAAACCUCUGUCUUUGGGGACGAAAAAGGACGGUACCCAAGGAGGAAGCUCCGGCUAACUACGUGCCAGCAGCCGCGGUAAUACGUAGGGAGCGAGCGUUGUCCGGAAUUACUGGGUGUAAAGGGAGCGUAGGCGGGAAAACAAGUUGGAUGUGAAAACUGUGGGCUUAACCUGCAGACUGCAUUCAAAACUGUUUUCUUGAGUGAAGUAGAGGCAAGCGGAAUUCCUAGUGUAGCGGUGAAAUGCGUAGAUAUUAGGAGGAACACCAGUGGCGAAGGCGGCUUGCUGGGCUUUUACUGACGCUGAGGCUCGAAAGUGUGGGGAGCAAACAGGAUUAGAUACCCUGGUAGU